rnacentral:rRNA from 1 species
UCGAGGAUCUUCGGCAAUGAGCGCAAGCUUGACCGAGCGACGCCGCGUGUGCGACGAAGGCCUUCGGGUUGUAAAGCACUGUCGAGGGGGAGGAAAGCCCGAAAGGGUCUGACCUAUCCCUGGAGGAAGCACGGGCUAAGUUCGUGCCAGCAGCCGCGGUAAGACGAACCGUGCGAACGUUGUUCGGAAUCACUGGGCUUAAAGGGCGCGUAGGCGGACAUUCAAGUCAGGGGUGAAAUCCCCCAGCUCAACUGGGGAACUGCCUUUGAUACUGGGUGUCUCGAGUAAGGUAGGGGCAUGCGGAACUGAUGGUGGAGCGGUGAAAUGUGUUGAUAUCAUCAGGAACUCCGGUGGCGAAGGCGGCAUGCUGGACCUUCACUGACGCUGAGGCGCGAAAGCCAGGGGAGCGAACGG